rnacentral:rRNA from 1 species
CAACCGCCGCGGGAACACGGAGGGAGCUAGCGUUGUUCGGAAUUACUGGGCGUAAAGCGCGCGUAGGCGGUUACUCAAGUCAGAGGUGAAAGCCCGGGGCUCAACCCCGGAACUGCCUUUGAAACUAGGUGACUAGAAUCUUGGAGAGGUCAGUGGAAUUCCGAGUGUAGAGGUGAAAUUCGUAGAUAUUCGGAAGAACACCAGUGGCGAAGGCGACUGACUGGACAAGUAUUGACGCUGAGGUGCGAAAGCGUGGGGAGCAAACAGGAUUAGAUACCCGCGUAGUCCCUGUCUCUUAUAC